rnacentral:rRNA from 1 species
GACGAACGCUGGCGGCGUGCUUAACACAUGCAAGUCGAACGGAAAGGCACUGCUAUCGUGGGGUGCUCGAGUGGCGAACGGGUGAGUAACACGUGAGUAACCUGCCCUUGACUUUGGGAUAACUUCAGGAAACUGAGGCUAAUACCGGAUAGCAGAUCACGCUGCGUGGUGGGGGUUGGAAAGUUUCGGCGGUUGGGGAUGGACGGGCGGCUGAUGAGUUUGUUGGUGGGGUAGUGGCUUACCAAGGAUUUGAAUGAUAGCCGGCCGGGGUGGGUGACCGGCCACAUUGGGACUGAGAGACGGAGCAGAGGCCUACGGGAGGCAACAGGGGGGAAUAUUGCACAAUGAGCGGAAGCCUGAGGCAGCAACGUCGCGGUCGGGAUGACGGCUUGUGGGUUGUGAACCGCUUUCGCCUGAUACGAAGCGUGUGUGACGGUAAUGGGUAAAGAAGCACCGGCUAACUACGUG